CUGGACUCCUCGGCCUCGGUUUCCCCUGUCCCCUCCGAAGGAGCGCGGAAGGGUCUUUGCUCCGUUGUGCUCCAUGGGAGGUUUUUUUUUCUGGGUUUUGCACACGAUGGAGCAGAGCUGAAGUGAAGCACGCACACACCCUGCCCCCACAAUUUUCUGGUGUGACCUUUUUGGAUAAACAAAGACCCCGGCAUAAGCUUUGGAGGUGAUGGAUGCCCCGGCUGUCCGUUCUCUCCCCGGAGUGGAGGUGGGUGCAAGGUGAUGAUGUCGUCGUCCUCCGGAGGCUUCCAUAUGUACUGCUCUCCAUUGCCUAUGAACACCGUUUCCUGAUAAACAAAGUCAAAUGAUGAGCUUCAUAAAGUGCUGCUGUGAGGUUAGAAUCUGUGAGCCAUUGUGCAAAGGUACUCAUGCAAAUAAAAGCUCAAAUGUUUUAAUAUUUCCCCCUGUAUGAGUUAAAAGCAGAUGAACAAAAAUAAGUGAAUUAUUCAUGUGUGUUUCCAAGGAAUGGGCCAGUUUCCAGGAGUCAGUCCUGGAUUGUAUGGACCCAAAGUUGGAUUGGAUCAGGGAAACCUCAGACUAUGACUAGUUCCCAUUUUGUAUCAUCUGGAUUUGGAUGUUUAUGGAUUGGACAUUUAACAUUGUAAAUAUGAAGAUUGAUAAUUGGAAAUAAAGAUAGGUAAAGUCUAUUAUUCUAUUAAAAUUAGAAAAUCAAGAAGGUAAAAUAUUCUGUGCAAUAAGAACCUUGAUUUAAAAACUACGACUGAAUUCAGGUUUAGUCUAUAUUUUGCUUAAUUCUUUGCAUUAAACUCAAAAAUAACAUAAAUGUUAUAGACAACAAUAUAACAACUAGCAACAUGUUUCUCUUAGCAGCAGGAACAUUUCUUGUUCUUUCUAAAAACCAGACGUUUAUGCAAUAUUAUUUUGAAUUUUUGCUGAUAUAACCACAGUACUCUAAAAACAACACUUUGAAACUCAGUUCCAGGCUUCACUUGCCCUGCAGGAUCAUUUUGACUGGAAAGCUUUGAAGAAAUAGUGAAAUCAUAACUUUUUAGCUAAAUAUACAUUCAUCCAUCCAUCAUUUUACACGCUCAGCCCUAUUGGGGUUAAAAAGGGUCCUGGUAACUAUCUCCUGAGAACAAUGGGCGAGAGGAAGGGUACACCCUGGUCAGAUGGCCAGUCCAUCACAGGCUAAACAUA